AGACUGGUGAAGCAUGAUGCCUGGGUAUUCAUGCCAGUGUAUGAGCUGUGCCUCCCUCAAACCUGUUAUGAUGUUAACAUAUUAUCUGUGUGAAA
rnacentral:snoRNA from 1 species